rnacentral:lncRNA from 1 species
GCCAUGCCGGCGCCUCCUGUGUGCUUGGCGCACAGUCAGUGUUGCAUCCCACAGCCUCACAGGGGACCCCACAGGGGACCCGCCCAGUUAAGACUCCCGCGCAUUUGCUGGAUGCACCAGUGCAGGAAGGAAUGAGCUGGUAGAGGAAUGAAGAGUGGCAGGAGACCCUAGCAGAGGCCCUAACCCAGCCCAGGAGGGUUGGGGCCGCUUCCUGCAGGAAGGGAGUCUUCCCCGGAUUCCUGAAGCCUGCGGACGAGGCAGCCGGCAAGGUGGCCGGGCGGGAGAAACUGCCAGCCAGGCCUGUGUGAAGGCCUCUUUAAGCACGAGAGGACUUGGUGCCUACGGGACGGUCAUUGGGUCAUCCAAAACAGAGACUGACCCUCUGCCAGUUUCCUUCGCUGGGCAUUUUCGGGACAGGCCUGGGUGCUCCGUCUGUGCUGCACCCUCGGUUUACGAUGGUGGCUCCUGGGUCAGAUCAGCAGCCCUCUGAGGAGGGAAGGGGAGUCAAAGCCAGGCAAAGAGGCCACCCCGCGUCAGGGGACCUCUUGGAGUUAGGCCUGGAUCUGAGCUGAUCACCGUCCCCUGGGGGAUGUUGUCUACCCGGGAGCAGAGCCCCACGCCUCUGGGCCUAGCAGGCCGCUCCACUCCAGGUCUGCCCUUUGAACCCUCCUUUGUCAGACAGGGGCUCCUGUGUCCCCCCCCCCCCAC